GCUGAGUUAGCUACGGAGUUCAUUUGGGGCCGGGAAGCAGAGAGGAAGACAACGAUAAUUAUGAUGAAGAACACGUUUUUGAUGUCAGAAAGUACAACACUUCCCAUUAUGCACUGCAUGUGAGCCUCACACCUGCCCUGCAGUGGAGGAGUAGAUAGUUUACAGACCCCUGAGCCCCUUCCAGUGCUGCCUGAGGUGCCCUCUACCUGUGCCUGCCUCUCGUCUGCCAGUUUGAUUUGGACCUGUUUUUCCCACCUCAGCCCCCAUGCUCUUGUCAAACGUGUUUGGCCUCCAGCCAAACAGGGCCUGGGAGGAAAAGAGAGUCCUGCUUCUGCCUGGCUUCCCCAUCGGGGAGGGGAGUUGAAGUGACAGCCUCCUGACAGCUUAGAAAUGUGGAGGACGCAGCAAGUUCUGGACAUGGCCAGCCAUAUGAAUGAUAUCUUCUCUUUCUUUGAACCAUCUCCACCUGCUCUUAUGGACACCCCGCCUUGGGGCAAGGCAAGGGAUGGGCACAACUUGGAAGAUUUUGGCUUUGUGAUCCUCAGUGUCCAGUGUCACCCAGAUGGGCCGGAAGCUGCCUUUGAAGCCAACGAAUGCCAUUUGCUCUGAAAAGCAAUGAUGAGUCUCCUGAGCAAAAGCCCUAUGAGAGGACGGCUGCCCCACCCCGUUCCAUGGCUCCCCAUCGCCAGCCCCCCACGCCCACCAGGUACCGCCUAGCCACACUGCACUGUGGCCCCUUGGGAAGAGCUCUGUGCUCAGCUACUGAUGGUGCCUGACAUGUGUUUGUAUGGGGCAGGCAGGGUCUCACCUGAGCCUCACUGCCACCUAGGCAGGGUGAUGGCUUUGUUGUAGACAGGGGAGCCAUGCACAGCAGGAAAUGGGGCAAACUGUAAGGGAGGAGACCUCCUAGGAACCUGCCUACCUUUGAGCUGCCCCUAGGACAACCAGCAAGUCCCUGCCCCUCUCUGAAGCCCAGUGUUCCCAUCCAUCAAAUGAUGGCAUUGAUCUACAAGAUCUCCUUCCCCACUCUAUCACUCUGUGGCUCUAGAAAGAGUUCUGAGAGGUGAAGAAAUUUGACCAAGAGUGUGGAGUAAAUGGUGCACCCCAGAUUAGAACUCUAAACCCCUGAAACCCACACAGCACUCUCCAUCUUGCAGUUCACAGCUUGAGCAUCCGAGGGGCAUGGGAAUCCACGUCUAUACUCAGCCCAUCUUGGCAGGCAACAUGCAUUUAUCACCACCGGGAAAGUGCCAUUCAACUUAGGUCACCUUACAUACAUCAGCUUUUGGCAACCGGGAUCUUAAUUUAAAAGACAGAGGCUCCAAAAUGAUUUCAGGACUGGGCUGGAAAGGAUACUUCUCUUUUCCUUAUGUCCUCCUUUGGCUGGUUUGAAGGGUUUGCAUUGCUUCUGAUUUUUCUCAUUGCCC
rnacentral:lncRNA from 1 species